rnacentral:sRNA from 1 species
GUGAUUGAAAAGGUGGUGGACAUAGACUUUGUACUACAGGUAUAAUAUUCAGCCAUGCCCCUGGUUCCCCCAAAUGAGUCUUCCACUACCUUCCUAUUCUUUAUCAUCUUAGCCUAUCCUAUGGUAACACCUGCAGGCCCGUACAAUCCGCCAGUUUGAUGAGCGCUACACAUCUGUGGCCUUUGGAUAUCAAGACUGUGUUACCUACUACAAAGCAGCAAGCCCUAGAACCAAGAUAGAUGCCAUCCGGAUCCCUGUGCUCUGUCUCAAUGCAACAGAUGACCCCUUCUCCCCCGUCUGUGCCCUUCCCAUACAGGCCGCCCAACACUCCCCCUACGUUGCGCUGCUCAUCACAGCCCGGGGUGGCCACAUCGGCUUCCUGGAAGGGCUGCUCCCGUGGCAGCACUGCUACAUGAGCCGCCUCUUGCAUCAGUACGCCAAAGCCAUCUUCCAGGAC